CCUGGCUAAAACCUAGCUUCAAUGAGAAUUAAUGGCAUAUGGCUGAAGCUUAAGGGGGCAAAAAGGAAUAAUGUUACUUUUAAAAAUGCACAUUCAAGAAAAAGACCUUAGCAGUUCAUUUUUACAAAAGAGAAAAUAUAAAGAGGCCAUGAUAUUUUUCUACUCAGGAAAAUAGCUGAUUGUAUAUCCUGAAAAUAAUAUCAUGCAAACCUCUCCUCAAAAUAUUUUAUGUUUAGUUUGCAAAGCUCCAAUUUUUAAAAUAAAUUCAUAUUUUAGCUAAUAAGAAUUGAUUUGAAAAAUAAAAUGAGGACAAGUCUGGCCAAUACAUAUAUUAUAGUUUGAAUGAACAUUGUAAUUUAAGCCAAAAUAUAUUAUAAAAAGGAAAAUAAGAGCAAAGUCCAUAGAAAUCUUAAGCAACAGAAACCCCGUAUUUGAAUUUCUACUCCACAUACGCAUAUAUAGUUAACUGAAAUGAGAAAAGAGAGAAUGUGUCUAAAUGAUUUGUCUUGAGGACAAGAUGUAUGCCAGUCUUCUCAUAUUGUACUUGAUCCUUGUGCAUAGGAGGGUAAAUGAGGUUGAUAUUUUGCAAUCACUUUGUAGUUGUGAAUAAGAUCAAUAUGAGGUCAAUUCUUGAGCAUUUGUCUAGUUUGCUUUAUGAUCCAGUGUGUUGUCAAUAUUCCAAAUGUUCUCUCUGU
rnacentral:lncRNA from 1 species